rnacentral:miRNA from 1 species
UUUGUAUUACGUGCGGAAAUUGUUACCAUUUCGGCUCAAAAAUGGUAACAAUUUCCGCACGUAAGGCCAA